UACGUAGGGUGCGAGCGUUAAUCGGAAUACUGGGCGUAAAGCGUGCGCAGGCGGUUAUGUAAGACAGUUGUGAAAUCCCCCGGGCUCAACCUGGGAAUUGCAUCUGUGACUGCAUAGCUAGAGUCCGGAAGAGGAGAGUGGAAUUCCCGGUGUAGCGGUGAAAUGCGCAGAUAUCGGGAAGAACACCCGUGGCGAAGGCGGCUCUCUGGGACGGUACUGACGCUGAGAGACGAAAGCUGA
rnacentral:rRNA from 1 species